GUUGUGGUUAAAAAGCUCGUAGUUGGAUUUCGGCGGGCAUUGGUUGGUUUGAAUUGUUUCAACACUGACUAUUUUGCCCGUGUGUUUUGCCAGAAUUUAACGGGUGCUCUUCGCCGAGUGUCUGUUAGAGCUGGCAGGUUUACUUUGAAAAAAUUAGAGUGCUCAAAGCAAGCUUAAUCGCUUGAAUAUUCGUGCAUGGAAUAAUAGAAUAGGAAGUCGUUUCUAUUUUGUUGGUUUUCGGAAAUCGACUUAAUGAUUAAUAGGGACAGUCGGGGGCAUUUGUAUUCAAACGACAGAGGUGAAAUUCUUGGACCGUUUGAAGACAAACUACUGCGAAAGCAUUUGCCAAGAAUGUUUUCAUUAAUCAAGAACGAAAGUUAGAGGUUCGAAGGCGAUUAGAUACCGCCCUAGUUCUAACCAUAAACGAUGCCAGCUAGCGAUCUGUCGGCGUUUUAUUUUGACUUGACAGGGAGCUUCCGGGAAACCAAAGCGUGUGGGUCCAGGGGAAGUAUGGUUGCAAGCUGAAACUAAAGGAUUGACGGAAGGCACCACCAGAGUGGA
rnacentral:rRNA from 1 species